GAUGAACGCUGGCGGCGUGCUUAACACAUGCAAGUCGAACGGACUCAUAUUGAAACCUAGUGAUGUAUGAGUUAGUGGCGGACGGGUGAGUAACGCGUGGAGAACCUGCCGUAUACUGGGGGAUAACACUUAGAAAUAGGUGCUAAUACCGCAUAAGCGCACAGCUUCGCAUGAAGCAGUGUGAAAAACUCCGGUGGUAUACGAUGGAUCCGCGUCUGAUUAGCUGGUUGGCGGGGUAAAGGCCCACCAAGGCGACGAUCAGUAGCCGGCCUGAGAGGGUGAACGGCCACAUUGGGACUGAGACACGGCCCAA
rnacentral:rRNA from 1 species